GGGGGGGAGGGGGGAAGGGGGAAAGCUCUGUCAGGUUAAUAAUCCUUUUUAUGAAGUUUUUUUUUAUUUUUAUCAUCUCUUCCAUGUUUCAUCUUUUUUACUCCUUUUUUUAUUAUGUGGUGUCGUAAAAUAUACAACAACGACUUUUGAUAAGAGCAUAUCAAGCACGUAAUAAAUAAAACAAAAAGUAAAAAAAACAAAAACAAAAAAGAAAAGUAAGGAAACACAGAAAGAACUUCAGUCUCUCAGCAGAUAAAAGCAAUUACGAUAAACCUUAUCAAGCUAAUAUUCCUCUUAGGAAACCAGAAUCGAACAGUAACUAAAGAUACAUCUCGGAACACAAAAGCACAAAAGUUACUGCAAUAUUCAGUCAUCUUAGCACAGUGAACUUUACGGUAUAGGCCUACUCUCACAGCCUAAAGAUCAGUGUGAUAUUUAACGAUUAAGUCGAUGCUACUGUGAGUUCUAUGGUGAUGAAGAAAAAGCUCUUGGGAGUAUUUUGAGGUGCUGUGUACAAACAAACGAUUGAAUGAAGCCCCCAAAGAGAGGAAGACACGAAGCUCUCAAGCACAGAAUAUCUUGUAACCAACCAUCCCCAUCCUUAACCUCAUCCUAUCCGACCCUCCUAUCCUAUCCAACCUCCCUAUCCUAUACCCCCAACCUCGCCCCCGUCCCCGCCCACACUCCCUGAGGAAUCCCUGAGGAGACGGGCGUUUCGGCGAAGGCGGAGACGGAAGGCGAAGGGAGAGUCGAGACGGAGACUCCUCGUAGCUAACAUCCCGACGUCGGCGAGCGAAGGCGAGUCAGUUUGAGCGAAGUCGCUGCCACGAACGGACGUGUAGCGCUGGUGCUCUCAAGAGGAGAAAAAAAAAAAAAUAUUAUCCCCCCCUUUCCCCCCACCCCUCUCUCUCUCGUCCUCUUCGAACGCCACGAUCUUAAUUUUUUUAUAUAUAUAUUUAAAACGAGACCCCCCCUUUUUUUAAAUAUUUUAUAGAAGUCCCCCCUACAUCCCUCCCUCCGUUGUGUGUCGUGAUACCUGUUGGUUGCGUUGUUGACUUGAAGCCAACUACCUGUGCUGUGUCGAACUCUAGGAGCGUGAUUUUCAC
rnacentral:lncRNA from 1 species